rnacentral:piRNA from 1 species
UCCUGAUGCCUCGUUCCAGGUGGUGUU